GACCCAAACUUUUCUAUCGGGAUUUUCCCCUAUCGGGAUCGCCUCGAGCUGCUCGGCCGGCGAACCCCGUUCUUCCUCCUCCCGUUGGUCCAGCUUGUCGAUCGUCAGAGAACCCUCCGUCUCGUCGCUUUGAGCGGAGAUUUGGAAGCAUCGUCGGGCGAGCUGUUGGUCUCCGCGCAUCUCUCCGACUCCAUUUUUGAUCGGGAAUCGAACAAGGAGAUGGUACGUCGAGACGAUCGCCUUGAGGGCGUUCAGUCCGGGUCGUCCAAGUAUGGCGUUGUAGGCCGAAGGAACUCGGACGACCGCGAAAGUGAGGGAGACCGUUCUUUGCCGUGGUUCGGUGCCGACCGUCACGGGCAGGGUGAUU
rnacentral:lncRNA from 1 species